AUGCCGAAGAUGGAUUUCCCUCGCUUUGAAGGGGAAGAUGUCCGCAUUUGGCUUGAUGGGUGUGAGGCGUAUUUUUCUCUGUAUGCUAUUCCUGAGGAAUUCAAGGUCACUUCAGCUACAUUGCAUCUAUCAGGUGAUGCAGCCAAUUGGUUUCAUGCUUACAAGGCCUUGCAUCAAUGGCCGUGCUGGAAUGAGUUUCGGGUGGCUGUCAUGCAGGAGUUUGAUUUGAAUGUCCAUCGCACAAAGAUGCGAGCUCUUCUGUUACUCAAGCAAUCUGGAUCAGUAGCAGAGUACAAAAGGGAGUUCACCCAGUUGGUGUAUCAACUUCUGUUAUAUGAACCGACAGUGAGUGACACAUUCCUGGUGACAUGGUUCAUCUUAGGCCUCAAAGAGGAACUCCGGGCUGCUGCGGAUAUGCAGAUACCAGCCAACGUCAGUGAAGCAGCGUCGUAUGCACUUAUCCAGGAAGAGAUUGUCCAACGUGCUUGCUCCAAUAGAAGUGUUGGCAACAGACAUGCAUUCUUCAAGCCUGACACUCGUCUAAACACACCACCUACUAGAGAGUUGUGGAAGGCAAGACAACUGAAGGAGUAUAGGCGCACUAAUGGCCUGUGUUUCAGUUGCGGUGAAAAAUACACACCGGGUCAUAUUUGUGUGAAGCCACCUACUCCUACUGCAGUCAUGGCCAUGACUAGUGCAGCUGAAGCCAUUUUGUCGGAUGAAAUACUUGAUGCAGUAGAAGAACAAGAAACUGCUUUGCAAGAAAUGCACUUGUCUGUCAAUGCCUUGUCUGGAGCUGAUCACCCUAGAACCAUUCGCUUGCGAGCUCUUAUUGGCAACCAGGUGGUGUUAAUCCUUUUGGACUCGGGCAGCACCCAUAGUUUCAUGGACUCAGCUCUGCUGCCUAGAAUUCAAGUGACACCUCAGCCACUCCCAAAAGAAAUGUCAGUCACAGUAGCUAAUGGGGAGAAACUAGUAUGCAAUUCAGAGGUACCACAGCUAAAUUGGUGGAUACAAGGGCAGAGAUUUGAAUACGACUUAAAGGUCAUUGACUUGGGAGGCUAUGAUCUCAUUUUGGGCAUGGAUUGGUUGGAGGCUCAAGGGAAAAUGAUUUGUCACUGGAAAAACAAAUGGAUAUAG
rnacentral:rRNA from 1 species